UACGUAGGGUGCGAGCGUUAAUCGGAAUUACUGGGCGUAAAGUGUGCGCAGGUGGCCGCGCAAGUCGAGUGUGAAAUCCCCGGGCUUAACUUGGGAAUUGCGCUCGAAACUACGUGGCUCGAGUAUGGCAGAGGAAGGUGGAAUUCCACGUGUAGCGGUGAAAUGCGUAGAGAUGUGGAGGAACACCGAUGGCGAAGGCAGCCUUCUGGGCCAAUACUGACGCUCAUGCACGAAAGCGUGGGGAGCGAACAGG
rnacentral:rRNA from 1 species